rnacentral:rRNA from 1 species
AACGAACGCUGGCGGCGUGCCUAACACAUGCAAGUCGUACGAGAAACACGUCCUUCGGGAUGUGGAGUAAAGUGGCGCACGGGUGAGUAACACGUGGGUAACCUGCCUUGGGGAUCGGGAUAACUGGCCGAAAGGCCCGCUAAUACCGGAUGAGACCACAUGAGCUACGGCUCAAGGGGUCAAAGUCGGCCUCUCAACGAAGCCGGCACCACAAGAUGGGCCCGCGGACCAUUAGCUAGUUGGUAGGGUAAUGGCCUACCAAGGCUGAGAUGGUUAGCUGGUCUGAGAGGAUGAUCAGCCACACUGGAACUGAGAUACGGUCCAGACUCCUACGGGAGGCAGCAGUGAGGAAUAUUGCGCAAUGGAGGAAACUCUGACGCAGCAACGCCGCGUGGGUGAAGAAGGCUUUCGGGUUGUAAAGCCCUGUCAGGCGGGAAGAAACUUCCGCAGGUGAAUAGUCUGUGGAACUGACGGUACCGCCAAAGGAAGCACCGGCUAACUCCGUGCCAGCCGCCGCGGUAA